AGCGGGGUAGAGCAGUUUGGUAGCUCGUCAGGCUCAUAACCUGAAGGUCGCAGGUUCAAAUCCUGCCCCCGCAA
rnacentral:tRNA from 1 species